AAGGGCAUAUCUCAGUGGUAGAGCACAUGCUUAGUAUGCACGAGGUCCUGGGUUCAAUCCCCAAUAUCUUUA
rnacentral:tRNA from 1 species